rnacentral:rRNA from 1 species
CAGCAGCCGCGGGAAAACGUAGGUGGCUAGCGUUGUUCGGAAUUACUGGGCGUAAAGCGCACGUAGGCGGAUAUUUAAGUCAGGGGUGAAAUCCCAGAGCUCAACUCUGGAACUGCCUUUGAUACUGGGUAUCUUGAGUAUGGAAGAGGUGAGUGGAAUUCCGAGUGUAGAGGUGAAAUUCGUAGAUAUUCGGAGGAACACCAGUGGCGAAGGCGGCUCACUGGUCCAUUACUGACGCUGAGGUGCGAAAGCGUGGGGAGCAAACAGGAUUAGAUACCCCUGUAGUCCCUGUCUCUUAUAC